UACGAGAGCCUCGAGCGUUAUCCGGAAUUAUUGGGCGUAAAGGUGCGUAGGUUGUUUUGUUAGUCUUUUGUCAAAGGCCCGGGCUUAACCUGGGAAUCGCGAAAGAAACGGCAAACUUGAAAGUGCGAGAGGUGUACGGAACUCAUGGUGUAGGGGUGAAAUCCGUUGAUAUCAUGGGGAACACCAAAUGCGAAGCAGUACACUGGCGCAUAUUUGACACUGAAGCACGAAAGCGUGGGUAGCGAAUGGG
rnacentral:rRNA from 1 species